rnacentral:rRNA from 1 species
CCUACGGGAGGCAGCAGUGAGGAAUAUUGGUCAAUGGGCGAGAGCCUGAACCAGCCAAGUCGCGUGAAGGAUGACGGCCCUACGGGUUGUAAACUUCUUUUGUCAGGGAGCAAUUCGGGCCACGCGUGGGCUUAGCGAGAGUACCUGAAGAAAAAGCAUCGGCUAACUCCGUGCCAGCAGCCGCGGUAAUAUGGAGGAUGCGAGGGUUAGCCGGAUUUAUGGGGUUUAAAGGGUGCGUAGGCGGAAUAUCAAGUCAGCGGGAAAAAUUCGGGGCUAAAGCCCGUCGUGCCGUGGAAACUGGUGUUCUUGAGUGGGCGAGAAGUAUGCGGAAUUCGUGGUGUAGCGGUGAAAUGCUUAGAUAUCACGAAGAACUCCGAUUGCGAAGGCAGCUCACUGGACUGCAACUGACACUGAUGCUCGAAAGUGUGGGUAUCAAACAGGAUUAGAUACCCCUGUAGUC